ACUUUAAUUGUUUAAGCGGAGGUAGCAUUAUAACUUCUGGAGUAAGUAGUGACAAGAUAAAAUUUACGCCUUUAUUGAUCACCUCUACAAAUAAACACUAUUUCUUUCACCCUUAUUAGCGCAUAUGGUAGUAGAUUCAUUNAAUCUUUUGGCAGCAUUCUCCACUGACAACCUCCUUUCAUUAUAUAUCUUAUUGCAUUAAUAAUCGCUCUAAUAUCGUGUUUUCUUGGCCUUCCUAUUGCUCCUUGUGCAACGUAUGGCUCUAGUAUUUCCCAUUCUUUGUCACUUAUGUCACUUGGAUACAUUUUUUUGCCUCUUAAUUCUACAUUUGCUUUAGUAUAUUUAUCUUUUCAUUUCUUUUCAAGACAUCUUCUUAGGUUUGAUAAUUUGCACCAAUUUUAUUAAUCCUUGACCAGUAAUGUUGGGACAAUUG